rnacentral:SRP_RNA from 1 species
GCCAGGCAUGGUAGCGGGCACCUGUAAUCCCAGUUACUUAGGAGGCUGAGGCAGGAGAAUAGCUUGAACCCAGGAAGUGGAGGUUGCAGUGAGCCGAGAUUGCGCCAUUGCACUCCAGCCUGGCAACAAGAGCAAGACGCCAGCUCAAAAAAUAANNNNNNNNNNUUAUUUUUUGAGCUGGCGUCUUGCUCUUGUUGCCAGGCUGGAGUGCAAUGGCGCAAUCUCGGCUCACUGCAACCUCCACUUCCUGGGUUCAAGCUAUUCUCCUGCCUCAG